rnacentral:rRNA from 1 species
UUCCGCCCGGCUGUUCCGCUCUCGUGGUGUCGUCCCGAUUACGGGAAAACAUUCACGGAGAGUUUGAUCCUGGCUCAGGACGAACGCUGGCGGCGUGCUUAACACAUGCAAGUCGAACGAUGAAGCCCUUCGGGGUGGAUUAGUGGCGAACGGGUGAGUAACACGUGGGCAAUCUGCCCUGCACUCUGGGACAAGCCCUGGAAACGGGGUCUAAUACCGGAUAAUACUCUCGCAGGCAUCUGUGAGGGUUAAAGCUCCGGCGGUGCAGGAUGAGCCCGCGGCCUAUCAGCUUGUUGGUGAGGUAGUGGCUCACCAAGGCGACGACGGGUAGCCGGCCUGAGAGGGCGACCGGCCACACUGGGACUGAGACACGGCCCAGACUCCUACGGGAGGCAGCAGUGGGGAAUAUUGCACAAUGGGCGAAAGCCUGAUGCAGCGACGCCGCGUGAGGGAUGACGGCCUUCGGGUUGUAAACCUCUUUCAGCAGGGAAGAAGCGAAAGUGACGGUACCUGCAGAAGAAGCGCCGGCUAACUACGUGCCAGCAGCCGCGGUAAUACGUAGGGCGCAAGCGUUGUCCGGAAUUAUUGGGCGUAAAGAGCUCGUAGGCGGCUUGUCACGUCGGGUGUGAAAGCCCGGGGCUUAACCCCGGGUCUGCAUUCGAUACGGGCUAGCUAGAGUGUGGUA